UCCUGGAGAUCUGUGACUGCGAGGCAGUACCAGCCACAUGUCAACAGAUGGCUACAGUUUUGUAGUAGCCGGAACAUCAAUCCCUUUGCUCCCACUGAACUGAUGUUGUGAAUUUUCUGUCUGUUACUUUCCACAGAAGUGUUGGUUAUACUUCAAUUAACACUGCCAGGGGUGCACUUUCCUCCCUGGGGAUUACUGUGGAUGGUUGCAGUGCAGGAAGCCAUCCUCUUGUCACCAGGUUCUCAAGGGGAGUUUUUAACUUGCGGCCAUCUAUCCCUAGGUAUACAAGAAAUUGAGAAGUUCAGCAGGUGCUACAGCAUCUGCGUGUCAUGGAUCCUUUGUCCUCCUUCUCUUUAAAGGACUUAACACUGAAGCUUGUGAUGUUGAUGGCACUUACGCAGGCUGCCAGAAUACAAACUUUGCACUGUUUGUUGCUGAGGAAUAUUAGUUUUGGGCAGGAUUCUGUUUGUGUUUGGUUAGGGGAAACUAUUAAACAGUGCAGGACAAAGUUCAAUGUGCGGUUUGUGACCUUUAAAGCAUAUUCUACAGACAUUAGAUUGUGUGUGUGUGUGAAACUGAAAAUGUAUAUUGCUAGGACAGAGGAGUUCAGAAAUUCUGCAAAUCAGGAGAAUGGGAAGUUACUCCUAAGUUUUAUCAAGCCCCACAAGCAUGUAACGAGGGACACUGUUGCAAGAUGGAUUCGAACAGUGCUUUCUCUGUCGGGCAUAGACUCCAGCCAGUAUUCAGCGGGCAGUGUUCGGCCUGCAGCUGCAUCAAAAGCCAAAGCCAUGGCUCUACCUAUUGGACACAUCAUAGCAAGGGCUGGGUGGUCCAGGGCUGCCACUUUUGCCAAAUUCUAUGACAAGGAGAUUGUCCCAAGUCACGAUCCUUUCCAAGAUGCUGUCCUUCAAUAGUCUGUUCAUUUUGUUUGCAUAGGAGAUGUUGUCUCUUGUCACCUGGUCCAUGGCUAUGUAAAUUUCUUAUUAUAUUGAAGUUUAGUUACUGCUUGCAUCAUUUAUCUUCUCUGCAUGUCUACAGUACGACACCCACAUGGCUUCAAAACCUCAUGGGAAGCAACCUCUAGCAGAGGUGUGAUUUGCUGACGUAAAAUUAAUGAAGUACAUGAGACUUACCAUAGGUCAGUUGAAAUGUGCUUUGAAUUUUAUGAAGCAAAUCACCUCUGCUAGAAGGGAGCUUUCACAUGCCCGCCUCUCUCAUCCUACGCUCUGUAGCGUCUUGUGGCUUACAUAUUUCUAGCAGUGCAAAAUGUUCAGUUACUUUCAUGUGGUUGGUCGUACUCUUUAAAGUCUCUUUCACGUCUGGUGGCAUGAAGCGGCAAAGCGUAUCUCAUGUGAAAGCUCCCUUCUAGCAGAGGUGAUUUGCUUCAUAAAAUUCGAAGCACAUUUCAACUGACCUACGGUAAGUCUCAUGUACUUCAUCAAUUAUUUUAUAAUAUUCCUCUUUAUGAGGAGACCACACCAUUGCUGCAUAUUCCAAUCUUGGUCUUAUAAUGGAAAUCAACAACUUUUUAUCAUUCCUUCAUCCAAAUAUAAGAAUGCCAUUUUUACUCUUUUUAACAAAUUCAUUGUCUCUCCAGGUAUUUUAUCAGUAUGUCUGUCCAGAGUCAAAUUUUCAGUAACUGUUACUCCCAAAUCCACUUCUUCUUUUGACUUUUUAACUUCACACCAUCCAUGUCAUAAUGAUAUUGUAUUCUUUUCUUACUCUUACCAAACUCCAUUACUUUAAAUUUACUUAAAUUGAAUUUUAUUUGCCAAGAUUUACUCCAUUUAUUUAUUUUAUUUAAAUCAUCUUGCAGAAUCAUACAGUCAUUUACAUCUUCUACCCUUCUCAUCAGCUUAGCAUCAUCUGCAAAUAAGUUCAUAUAACUAUCUAUUUCUUCAUUUAUGUCAUUUACAUAUAUUACAAACAUUAUUGAUCCCAACAUUGACCCCAGUGGGACACCAGAAGUUACUUCCAGCCAAGAUGAAUUUCGGUCUUGUAUUACAGUUCUCAUGUCUCUAUCAUCCAGAUAAUCCUCCAUCUACUCCAGCAGUCUUCCUCCAAUUUUUCCAUAAUUUUUUAUCUUCCAUAGCAAUCUUCGGUGUGGUACUUUGUCAAACACUUUCUUCAAGUCUAAGUGCACACCAUCCACCCAUUCGUCUCUCUCCUGUACAAUAUCGACUACCCUUGAAUAAAAAGGACAAUAAGUUCAUGGAGCAUGAUCUUCCCCUCCUAAAUCCAAAUUGACGAUUUACCAAAACUUUAUCUCUUUCCAAGCGUUCCAUCCAUCUUUCCUUUAUUGUUCUUUCACAUAGUUUUCCUACAACACUAGUCAAGGACACUGGUCUAUAAUUUAGUGGUUUUCCUUAUUUCCUCCUUUGAAUAUUGGUAUAAUAUUUUGGUACUCUUCCCUGUGAUAGUGAUGUCAUCACUAGACUGAAUUUUACGUUAACAAAUCACUUGUCUGCUGAAGCUCGCUACCCCAUGAGAUAACACCAUGCUGCCCCACAUGCCAGUUGCUCCAUGGCUCCUGCACUGGUCAGACGCUCCUAUCUCAACCUUUUCGCCCAGGUCUUUGCUUUGCUUUGCUUUGCCAGGCUGUCACCUGUCACAUAGGCAGCAGAGCACUGCACCCACUUUCCUCUUUAGUAGGAGCAGGUUAUUGCCCUCAAAUAAAUCCAGGUUAAGGAUUUUGUUUACGAUGGUGUUUGUUUUUUACUGCCAUGUCUUCCCUGAAUGACGACUCCCAUGGAGCCAAGACAUCGGGUCAUAAGGGCAAGUCCUCUAAUGGAGGACAUACGAGUACUAUGAGUUCAUGCUGCAGUGAGGACAAGUCCAGACACAAGCACUUUACAACUUGUCACAGGAGUUCGAGGAGAGACCGUACGCUGUCUGAAGAUCAUCUGUCCUUGAGCAGAAGGUGAGACUGUACAUCGCCUGCUCAGUCAGCUGGUACCGUGAUACCACUACAAAAUGUCUCCCUCUCCUUCUCUGUCCUGGGAGGAGAUGCACGCUGCUCCUUGGGCCAUGCUUAUGGACGCCCUUGCCGAAUUAAGGGGUGACAUGGAGAAACUGAAAGCCAAGAGACAGCAAGGCACAUAGGACUCCUUGACUGCCAGAAGCAGUGUUCCUACCUGCAGCGGUGACCCCAACCUUGGCUUGACUGGCCCCCUGCUUUGUCCUGAGGAUUUGCAGGCUGAAGUGGUUGCCUCGAAUGCUGGAUUCUCUGGGUUUAGACUGGAUGGUGAUGAGGACAGUGAAGAUGGGGAGCUCCCUGGCUUGCCUAUAUACAGUGUGUUGUUGCAAGGCGCUAAGACCUACGGGCCCUUGGAAUGUGUUUUGGCAGAUGUUCAAACACAUAUCGCAGGCAUGGUGAAUCAUCUGUUUGCUAAUAGGAUGCGUGAGGAGGACUAUUGAGAAGUUCUGGAGGCUGACAUCACCAAGGGGCCAGGCAACUACCCUGCACUGGACCCUGUUGAGUGUAACUCACACAUUUUAGAGACACUGAAAUCAGAUGCUAAACGAACCGAUUUCUGCAUGAAGGAGGUUGGUAAAGAUUUACUCAAGGCAGCCACUAUUAUUGUCGAGUCGCUCACUGUGCUGGAUAAUUUUGCACAGGAGGAAGGAAACUCUGUGGUGGCUCAGGAAGUUAGUCUCCUCAAUGGGGCUUUGGCCUUGCUUGGAAAUGCCAAUCAUCGCAACAACUUGGCAAGACACUUUGUCAUCAAGCAUGAAAUCAGCCAUAAGUACGCUCACUUAUGCUCUGACACGGUUCCAAUGACAAGGUUUUUGUUUGGAGAUGACGUCUUGCAGUCCACCAAACAAACUGAGGAGACAGAAAGACUGAGGAGUAAAUUCUCUGUCAGGAAAUCCUACCCCACUUGGAAAUUUGGCUUCAGCAAACCUGUGGGGGGAAAACCAUGAGUGUUCCAGGGUAGAGCCCCUGCCAGAGGAUUUCCAACUAGGUUCCAUCCUUACGGCCAAUGUUGGGUCGGCUCCAAGGGAAAACCACGGUUCACCUACCCACAGCAGGACUCUAAGCCAAAAAACUCCCAAGGCCAGGGUCACAGCAAUCCUCGGCAAUAAUACAGAUGUCUGCAGGAGCUACGAGAGGAACAGGCAAAAGGAUGGCUGGUGGUUCCACUGUGGCCGUCCCAACUGUGGGACGCUUGUCAAGGAGCCCCGGCUCAUCACAAAGAUGAAGAACGUGCUCACUCUACCACUCACAACAGAGGACCACCCCAUCAUGAGACAUACUAAGUUAAUGGCUUGUCUUUUGUCUGGGAAAAGCUGCAAAAACAAGGCAUUUCGUCUGUGGGUACGGACAUCAUCAUGGCCUCUUGGAAGCCUGGGACUGAAAAGCAGUACCGUACACAUGUCAAUAGAUGGACACAGUUUUGUCAUAGGUAGGGCAUCAAUCCCCUUAAUCUCUCUGUAAUCCAUUCAAUUAAUUUUUUAUCUGAAACCUUUCACAGAGGAGUGGGGUAUGACUGUGUCACCACUGCCAGGGGGGCUCUUUCUUUGCUUGGAUUAGUGGCAACAACCCCAUGGUCAACAGACUGCUUAGAGGUGUAUUCAACCUGAGGCCAUCAACACCCAGGUAUACUGAUACCUGGGAUGUCACGCCCAUCUUGUGUCAACUGAGGAUGAGGACCAUGGCCCUUGUUACCAAUCUCACUCUGAAGGCCCUGACUUUGAAAUUAGUAAUGCUGAUGGCCCUCACACAAGCAGCCCAGGUUCAAACUUUACACUUUUUAGUGCUGAAGAACAUCAGCAUAGGGGAGGAUUCCAUUACCACGUGGUUAGGUGGCAAUGUUAAACAAUGCCGACCAAAAUGUAACAUUCAGGUUGUGAAAUUUCAUGUUUUUACCAAAGAUACAAGGUUAUGUGUAUGUUAAACACUCAAAAUGUACAUUGAAAAGACAGAACAGUUCAGGAAAGUUGGGUAAGAAGAUGGACAACUUUUCAUCAGCUUCAUUAAAUCACACAAACAGGUAUCAAGGGAGACUUUCGCAAGAUGGAUUAGAACAAUGCUGGUUUUGUUGGGGAUGAACACUGCAAAGUAUACAGUGUACACAGUGUGUGACCAGCAGCAGCCUCAAAAGCGAAGGCCAUGGAAGUACCAGUAGCUCACAUUAUGGCAAAAGCUGGUUGGUCACAGUGGACCACAUUUGCCAGACAUUAUGACAAGGUAAUUGCUUGUGAUGUGCAUGAUUUUCAAGAGGCAGUGUUAGGUUAUGUCUGGUAGAGGUUGUUACUUCUUAGUUGGGAAUGGUUGUAGAAUGAAAGUUCUUUUGUUUCCAGAGUUUUUCUUACCUCUAUUAGAUUAGGAGUUAUCAUGACAACUUUGACUGUAUUGAACUAAUGAACGCUUAUCAAGGUACAACACCCACAUGGCUUUAAAACCUCAUGGGGUAGCGAGCUUCAGCAGACAAGUGAUUUGCUGACGUAAAAUUGACAGAGUACAUGAGACUUAUCGGAGGUCAGUUGAAGUGUGCUCAAGAUUUUACAAAGCAAAUCACGUCUGCUUGAAGCUAGCUUUCACAUGCCCUCCUCUCCCACCCUUUGUUUCAUUCUAUAAAUCCUCUGAAGUGAGGAAAUUGGGAUCGGUGGGGUUCUCAUUUUCAUGUGGGUGGUCGUACGCUCCAAAGUCUGACAUGUGGGACAGCGCGGCAUUAUCUCAUGUGAAAGCUAGCUUCAGGCAGAUGUGAUUUACUUCGUAAAAUCUUGAGUACACUUCAGCUGACCUCCAGUAUGUCUCAUGUACUCUGUUAAUUUUAUCAGCCAGUUGUUCUCUACAUUCCUUCAAUAUCCGGUUUGAUACUCCACCUGGACCAGUUGCUUUAUUUACUUCAAGUUCUUCCAACAUCUUAAGAAUUUCUUCAUAACUGACUGGGACUGUACUUAGUAUAUUCUUCACCAACUUAUCCCUUCCAGCGUCAAACUCCCUUUCCACAGUAAAUACCAAUCUGAAACUAUUGUUCAUAACCUCCACCAUGUCCUGUGCAUCAUCAUACAUUUUUCCUUCAUCUUUCAGUCUUGAUACACCUUCCUUCUUCAUCUUCCCAUUAAUAUGGCUAAAGAAUAGUUUGUGUGUGUAUGUGUGUGUGUGUGUGUGUGUGUGUGUGUGUGUGUGUGUGUGUGUGUGUACUCAGUACUGUAUCUGGACUUAACACGUCCAAUACCUGAUCAGUUGCCCGAGACUCGGGGGGCGUAGUAGUCUGUCAGUUGCAUUCAUAGACAGAAGGUGUUAAGAUUACAAAUUUGUUCAAGUACCAGCAAUGGAUAUCUGGUUGAAAAUGGGGAAACUGUCAGAAAAGAAAAUCCUGAAAAGCAAGCCUUGACCAUAUCGUCUGGUGAAGGUGGGGUGAAUGCCACUGAUGUUACAGAUAAAGAGGGCCAGAGAGAAGCACAGGGAAAAAGACACAAGGUGAAACAACAUGAUAUGGAACAGCAGAGUGAGGCAGAGGGACAGGGCGGAGUGAAGGGGUAGAAUGAACAGCAAGACCAACUGAGUCAGAAAGAUAGAGCUGACGAGUGUGAAAAGAAAAGUAAAAAAUGCAAAUAUGAUGAAAGCUAUAUCGCAUUGGGGUUUACAUGGAUUGGUGAUGCUGAAACACCAAGUCCACAAUGUGUUCUUUGUGGUGAAGCUAACAGCAGUCUCAAGCCCUCUUACUAAUGCCACAAUCUGUAAAACUAAAUAUAACAACCUGAGAGACAUGCCAGUAAAUUUUUUCAAAUGCAAAUUGGAAGAAUUAAGAAAAAACAAACAACUAUUGGGAUCAUAUUCAAGUAAUGGAUCUCACAAGGAUGCUCUACAAGCAUCAUACCUUGCUAGCUACACUUUAGCAAAAAAAGGAAUGCCACACAUGACCACGGAAGAUGUAUGCUUGCCAGUGGCAAAAGAUUUGGUAAAUUGCAUGUUUGGAGAAAAAGCAGCGAAAAAGCUGGAUAUGAUUCCAUUUUCCAACAAUACUGUGGCCCGCUGCAUUGACAGUAUGUCUUCAAAUAUUCUCUGCCAGCUGGUAAGUUGUGUCAAGGGCAGUGAGUUUUAUUCCCUGCAGAUUGAUGAGUCAACAGAUAUUGGAAAUCUGGCUAAUCUUUUGGUUUAUGUCUGUUUCUUAAAUAAUGGCACAGUUCAUGAGAAAUUUUGGUUUUGUCAGCCUCUUGACACUCGUUUUUUAUUUAAUCAACAAUUUUAUGAAAGACAAUGGGAUCGAAUGGGAGUGCUGUGUAGGAAUAAGUACUGACGGAGCAAUGUCAAUGACGGAAAUAUAAAGGGCUUGUAGCUUUUAUCAAGAAAAGUGUUCCUUCAGUUUCCUGGGUUCACUGCUGCAUUCACAGAGUGGCUCUUGCCUCAAAAAAUAUGCCAGCUGAGCUGCUAUCUUUUCUUAAUGAUUCAGUGAAAAUGGUCAACUUCAUCAAAGCUCACCCAAUGAAGAAUUCAAGGAUUUUCAAAGUUCUGUGCAACAAAAUGGGCAGUGAACAUGAGACACUACUUUUGCAUACAGAAGUGCAAUAGUUAUCCAAAGGUAAAGUUCUGACAAGACUUUAUGAGCUUCGAUGCGAAGUUGAACAUUUUUUUGUCGAUCACCCAUUCAAUUUGUCUUCCUGCCUGCAUGAUGAAGAAUGGCUGCAAAAACUUGAAUACUUGGCAGACAUUUUCUCAGUGCUGAAUGAAAUGAACUCAAGUCUUCAGGGUGUCAGAUCCAUAGUGUUUAACACACUAAACAAGAUCAAAGCAGUGAUAAAAAAAUAGCAUUUUGGUCAAGAUAUGUAGAGUCAGGCUAAAUUCAGUGUUUACCAUUGCUACAUGACUUCAAUGAAGCAAGUGAAAUAGUCUUGAAAAAGUGUGUGAAAAGUCUUAUUCUUGAACACCUCAAACAAUUGAGAGAGCAGCUAUGAAGAUACUUUCCUUCCAGGAACCUAUCAUAUACUUGGAUAAACAAUCCAUUCAAAGCUUUUUUUCCAAUCAUGCAUCUGUCACUAAUGGAACAGGAAUACAAUUCAAACAAAAACUACUCAUGGAUUUCUGGGCACAAAUCAUGGAAGAUUAUGUUAACUUAUCCAAGUAAGCAUUGAGAGUAUUGAUGCCCUUUGCCAAGACAUACCUCUGUGAGACUGGCUUUUCUGCACUCACAGCUCUGAAGAUGAAGUAAUACCAGAGGAUGAAUGCUGAGAAAGAUCUAAGAAUCAGACUUUCUUCAGUUGUUCCCAACUUUGUUGACCUGUGUGCUGAAAUGCAGCCUCAUCCAUCCCACGAAUUACUAACAGGUGUCUGCAAAAGAUGCAGGCAGAAGAAGCACGGGAAUGGAUACCCUUGUACCCUUGUGGAUGUCCCAGCCGUGGAUGAGGUUGUUGCUCAGGAUGAUGGUUGACCACUCAUGAUUUAUUAUGUGAAGGAUAGAUGUACUGAUGCACCCAUCCUCAUCAGAGGGGCACCUGUUCAUGAAGCACAUACAAAUGAUGGCAUGCCUAUUGUCCAGGAGAACCUAUGAGAAUGAGGCAUAUCUGUAAUGGGUGCGGACAUCAUUCUUACCUCCUGAAAACCAGGAACAGAGAAACAAUACUGUCCACAUGUCAGAAGAUGGAUGCAAUUUUGUGGUAGAGGGGAUAUCAAUCCCCUUAAUCCCACUGUGUCCAACAUCAUAAAUUCCUUGGCCGAGACUUUCCACAGGGAUGUACAGUAUGAGUGCAUUAACAUGGCGAGAGGUGCCCUCUCAUCACUGGGCAUUAUGGCAGGUGGCUGCAGAAUGGGAAAUCACCCACUAGUUAUCAGGUUCAUGAGAGGGUGUUUAAUCUAAGACCAUCUAUGCCCAGGUAUACUGAGACCUGGGAUGUUAAACCAGUAUUAAAAAAACUUAGAACUAUAUGUCCACUACAUGCACUGUCCCUGAGGGAGUUAAUGUUAAAACUUGUUAUGUUGAUGCUCUAAUUCAGGCAGCCAGACUUCAAAUUUUACACUUUUUAGCAUAGGGAAAUAUUUCCUUCCUAUUCAGUUGGGGGAAAAUAUUAAGCAAUGCAGGCUUAACUUUAACAUUCAAGUGGUGAAAUUUCAGGCUUACGCUAAGGAUGCCAGCUUCUGUGUAAAUGUGACAUUGCAAACUUACAUUGAAAUGACUGAGGCAAUCAGACAGGGUGCUGAACAAAAGAAGCAUAAACUACUUAUCAGCUUUAUCGAGCUACACAAAACUGUCUCAAAGGACACAUUUGCACGUUGAAUCACAAAAAUGCUUGAUUUGUCUGGGGUGGACACCACUAAAUUCACAGCUGGCAGUGUUUUGCCAGCUGCACCAUUGAAGGCCAAGGCUAUGGCUGUGCCAAUUUCUUGUACCAUAGCAAAAACUGGGUGGUCCAGGAAGACUACUUUUGUAAAAUAAAAAAAUAUUAUGAUAAGAAUAUUGUUAUGGGAUCUGAUCCAUUUCAGGAUGCAAUAUUAGAGUAGAGAAGGGUAUUUUGACUCUAAAGUACAUUACUAUAUUAUGGAUUAUUCAAAGUAUACUAUACACCUGUGACACCAAUGUUACAUUGUGAUGUCAUGAACAACAUGCAUGAGUGCUAAUUUUCUGUAUGGUAUGCAGGGUAUUACAUUCAAUAAUGUUUCAUUCAUCAGAAUAUGUAACCAGUUUUAUUUUAUGAUAUGUACUGAUGCUAUGUGAUUGAGGGAGACUACUUGUGUAAAAUAUUAUAAUCAGCUUGUUGUUAUGGAAUCAGGCCUAUUCAGGAUUGCUAUGUUAGAAUUUUGGAUUAUAUUUUGAUUCCAAGAUAUAAUGAUUUAAACAUGAAAGGGCUGGAUCCUCAUAAAUAUUCAUUAUGCUGAAAAUGAUUGUGUUACAUUGCAAUACUAGUGAAAUGUGCAGCUGCAUGCAUGAAUAUAAACCCAUGUACAAUGAAUGGUAUUCAGGUUCAUUCAUGUUAUCAAAACUUAUCACAAAUUGUAUAUUGAAAUAUGUACAGGUGGUGAAGCUAUACAGUGGCACAACACCCACAUGGCUUCAAAACCUCAUGAACAAGCGACCCUUCAGCAGGUCAACAGGUCAGUUGAAGCAUGCUUACAGUUUUAUGAGGGAAAUCACCUCUGGUGUAGGGGAGCUUUCACAUGCCCUCCACUCCCCCCCAGUGUUAAUGGAUUACAACACCAAUUUCAUCAUCCUGCAUGGAACCUUUUCUUUUAUGUCAUGUGGGUGGUUGCAUCAUUCAAAGUCUGACGGUGUUGUGUGGCGCAGCAUUUCUCAUGUGAAAGCUCCCCUACAGCAUAAGUGGUUUGGCUCGUAAAAUUACAAGCACACUUCAACUGACCUGCAGUGAGUCUUGUGUACUUUAUCAUUGUUGUUGAACUUUUUGUAAAGUAAACCACAGAAAUUAC